UGCUCUUCCGAUCUAUUCAGGCAUUUCUACAGAUUUCCAAGCAUGAAUGCUCUUAUGUUCAGCUGAGAACAAAAAAUGAUGAACAAGCAGAAAAUACAGCAGCAAAGGACAAGGAAGAGAUGGCACACAUU